GACGAAGGAUGCAAGCGUUAUCCGGAUUUACUGGGCGUAAAGGGCGCGUAGGCGGCCACCGCAAGUCGGUUGUGAAAUCUCCGGGCUUAACCCGGAAAGGUCAACCGAUACUGCGGGGCUAGAGUGCAGAAGGGGCAACUGGAAUUCUCGGUGUAGCGGUGAAAUGCGUAGAUAUCGAGAGGAACACCUGCGGCGAAGGCGGGUUGCUGGGCUGACACUGACGCUGAUGUGCGAAAGCUAGGGGAGCGAACGGG
rnacentral:rRNA from 1 species